GAUGAACGCUGGCGGCAUGCCUAACACAUGCAAGUCGAACGGGACGUUCUGUUUUCGGUGGCGAACGGGGGGGUAACGCGUAAGAACUUGCCUUUGGGAGGGGAACAACAACUGGAAACGGUUGCUAAUACCCCGUAGGCUGCGGAGCAAAAGGAGGAAUCCGCCCAAGGAGGGGCUCGCGUGUGGUUCGCUUGGUGGGGAGGUGAUAGCUUACCAAGGCGAUGAUCAGUAGCUGGUCCGAGAGGGGGAGCAGACACACUGGGACUGAGACACGGCGCAGACUCUUACGGGAGACAGAAGUGGGGAAUAUACAGGAAUGGGGGAAAGCGUGACAGAGCGAUGCGGCGCGGGAGUGGAGAAGCUAUGGGGCGUCAAAUGCUUUUUUCGACGAAGAAACAAUGACGGUAGCGGGAGAAUAAGCACCGGCUAACUCCGUG
rnacentral:rRNA from 1 species